rnacentral:misc_RNA from 1 species
CUGAGUGUAAAAACUCCCAAACCCAUUGUGAACAUACCUCUGUUGCUUCGGCGGAUGCGCCCCGGGCGCGCCCUCACAGGCGUGCCCCGGACCAAGGCGCCCGCCGGGGAACCGAAACUCUUGUUUUCUUAGAGAAUCUCUGAGUGUGAUUAUAAAUCAAAUCA